AUUGAACGCUGGCGGCAGGCCUAACACAUGCAAGUCGAACGAGUGGCGGACGGGUGAGUAAUGUCUGGGAAACUGCCUGAUGGAGGGGGAUAACUACUGGAAACGGUAGCUAAUACCGCAUACCAUCGGAUGUGCCCCGAUGGGAUUAGCUAGUAGGUGGGGUAAAGGCUCACCUAGGCGACGAUCCCUAGCUGGUCUGAGAGGAUGACCGGCCACACUAGAACGGAGACACGGUCCAGACGCCUACGAGAGGCAACAAUGGGGAAGAUUGCGCAAUGGGCGCAAGCCUGAUGCAGCCAGGCCGCGUGUGUGAAGAAGGCCUUCGGGUUGUAAAGCACUUUCAGCGAGGAGGCGUUACUCGCAGAAGAAGCACCGGCUAACUCCGUGCCAGCAGCCGCGGUAAUAC
rnacentral:rRNA from 1 species